rnacentral:rRNA from 1 species
UACGGAGGAUGCAAGCGUUAUCCGGAUUCAUUGGGUUUAAAGGGUGCGUAGGCGGGCUAUUAAGUCAGUGGUGAAAUCCUGCAGCUUAACUGCAGAACUGCCGUUGAUACUGAUAGUCUUGAGUUUGGUUAAGGUAGGCGGAAUGUGUAAUGUAGCGGUGAAAUGCUUAGAUAUUACACAGAACACCAAUUGCGUAGGCAGCUUACUAAGCCGACACUGACGCUGAGGCACGAAAGCGUGGGGAUCAAACAGGAUUA